CCUACGGGAGGCAGCAGUGAGGAAUAUUGGUCAAUGGUCGGGAGACUGAACCAGCCAAGCCGCGUGAGGGAGGAAGGUACAGAGUAUUGUAAACCUCUUUUGUCAGGGAACAAAGACUGGGACGCGUCCCCGGAUGAGUGUACCUGAAGAAAAAGCAUCGGCUAACUCCGUGCCAGCAGCCGCGGUAAUACGGAGGAUGCAAGCGUUAACCGGAUUUACUGGGUGUAAAGGGAGCGUAGACGGCAGCACAAGUCUGGAGUGAAAUGCCGGGGCUUAACCCCGGAACUGCUGUGGAAACUGGGCAGCUUGAGUGCAGGAGAGGUAAGUGGAAUUCCUAGUGUAGCGGUGAAAUGCGUAGAUAUUAGGAAGAACACCAGUGGCGAAGGCAGCUUACUGGACUGUAACUGACGUUGAGGCUCGAAAGCGUGGGGAGCAAACAGGAUUAGAUACCCGGGUAGUC
rnacentral:rRNA from 1 species